GAUGAACGCUAGCGGCAGGCCUAAUACAUGCAAGUCGAACGGUGUCUUCGGACAUAGUGGCGCACGGGUGCGUAACACGUAUGCAACCUACCUUACAUUGGGGGAUAGCCUUUCGAAAGGGAGAUUAAUACCGCAUAAGACAGUAGCUGGGCAUCCAGCAGCUGUUAAAGAUUUAUCGAUGUAAGCUGGGCAUGCGUCCAAUUAGCUAGUUGGUGAGGUAACGGCUCACCAAGGCAAUGAUUGGUAGGGGAACUGAGAGGUCAAGCCCCCACACUGGAAGUGAGAUACGGGCCGGACGCCUACGGGAGGCAGCAGUAGGGAAUAUUGGGCAAUGGACGCAAGUCUGACCCAGCCAUGCCGCGUGCAGGAUGAAGGCGUUAUGCGUUGUAAACUGCUUUUAUACAGGAAGAAACGACUCUUGCGAGAGGCAUUGACGGUACUGUAUGAAUAAGCACCGGCUAACUCCGUGCCAGCCGCCGCGGUAAGAC
rnacentral:rRNA from 1 species